rnacentral:lncRNA from 1 species
UCUUGACCCAAAGAAUUCCCCAGGAGAUACAACUUAGAAAUACAGAAGACUCUGGCUGGUCAGGAGAACCCACAAAAGCCUCACUCAGAUGUAUUUAAGAAUGGUAGCUGCUGGGUGUGGUGGACACAUGGAUUGUGACACUGCUGAGGAGGAGCUAGCUGAAGGUGCAAACCUGGGAGGGGGCACUUCAUGACAAAUAAGUCCUCAGGAACAUCUCCUGAUCACCAAGAUCUGCCAAAGAUAUGAAUAGCCUCACAGUGACCCCUCCCAGCACCCUCAGCAUUAAUAAG